rnacentral:rRNA from 1 species
UACAGAGGGUGCGAGCGUUAAUCGGAAUUACUGGGCGUAAAGCGCGCGUAGGCGGCUUUUCAAGUCGAUUGUGAAAUCCCCGGGCUUAACCUGGGAACUGCAGUCGAGACUGUCUAGCUAGAGUAUGGGAGAGGGAAGUGGAAUUUCAGGUGUAGCGGUGAAAUGCGUAGAUAUCUGAAGGAACAUCAGCGGCGAAAGCGACUUCCUGGACCAAUACUGACGCUCAUGUGCGAAAGCGUGGGGAGCAAACAGG